UAAACGCACUAGAGAUUAAACCAGACAAUCAGCUGAUGAUAACAACUGAUGCAAAAUGAAUCCCAAAAAGCCAUCCUUGGUUAUCUGCAUCACGCUAUUCAGUAAAGAAGACACUCAUUAUUUUUCCUUCAAAACGGUGUCUACUGUCUCGCUGGAAGUCAGUGACAGCAGCCUGAUAAAAAAAAAAAAAAAUAGUCUAGGCCAGCAGCAAAUAAAGCCUCCUUUCUGUGCUGACACAAAGGGGACACAGUGAGUUCACAGUCAGUGCAGCUGCCUCUCUCUCUGAGCUGCGUCCUCCUGUCUGCAGAGCUGCAGAUAAACAUGAUAAACCCUCACAUUAACUGGUGUCAAAGGGCAAAAACCAAAGAAAAUCAGACAGUUGGUGGCUGUGUAGUCACAAGGGGUCAUUGGGGUCACUACCUGUCUACAGUGAGUUUACUGUUGACAGAGCAGGGGUGGAUUCUGGACUCUGUCCUUCCUGAAAUGUGUUGAAUUUAAAAACUUUUUUGUCAUGUACUUGCUACCUGCACGCCUUGGCUUUGCCACAAUAAAACAAAGGCACUACAAAGAUGUUCUAAAAUGGCCUGAACAAAAUUAUAGGUGGUGAUAAAUGAGUGGAUUGUAGUGAUAUUUCAAGCUGGCUGCCAUCUUCAAUUAGCCUCACAGGUGCCUUCAAUCUUAUAAUCAAGUCUUCAAUGUGACAAGAGACAAGAGAAAUAAAAGAAGAGAGCUGUCUGAGGAGAUAAGGAUGGAAAUAAUUGAUGCGUGUGGUUUAGGUAAAGGGCUAAAGGACAGUCUUCAAGCAGCUUCAUGUUCCUGUGACCACAGCUGUUAAUAUUAAUGAGAAGUUUAAGAUCGAUGGGACAGUAGCCAACCUGAUCUUAAUCUAUGGAAAAAGCUGGAAACUCUGCAACUACAAAGGACGUGGGAGUUGUGCAUCGUAGAAAAGCCUCGGUUCCCAGCCAGACUUGAUGGUUGCUGAAGAGUCCCUGGUGGUGGCCGCAGGAGGAGAAGAUGCUGCUGCUGCUGCUGCUGAUGAGAGUCCAUCCUGCAGCCAUGAAGCCCGGAGAUGAAAUGAGGCAACUGCGUCUGCUGCAUCGGUGCUUCUUAAAGUGACAGUAGGGGAUAAUAACGCUUCAUUUGGCAGCGAGACCUUUUACUAACAGCACAUUAUGUGGUUAUUGAUGGGGUGUUUACGGCUGGGAUGAUAACGUCUUGGCGGGGGAACUAUAGCUGAGAAAGUCCCUCAUUUCCAGCACUGACAGCAGGCACGGGAUAGCGUCCAGCUGGAGGGGUACACCAUGUACAACACCUCAUGAUGAUGAUGGAUGAGUGUGCAGAGACUCAUUCACUGACAGGUACAGGCCACUGUUACAGCAAAGUUUGCUCCUUUGUAAAAUAAAUACAUUAAAGACAUAUUCAUUAUUUUCAUUAUUUUAAUUCAGUCCACUAAAGCAUAAACCUUAACAAAAUAUUACAAUUUCAAAAUGGCUUAAUAAACUCCAUAUUCUCUACAUAAUGAACUCCAAGAACAAGUGGGAAAUGAAAAGUGUUUUGAACAGUAAUCCCUCUAAACAUAUGGUGUGUAUUAGUGGUUCCUAACUAUCACGUAUAGACCCAGGAUAAAAGAAAAUUAUAUUUUGUCCCCAAAAGACCUGCAUUAAGCACAGAAUAAAGUGAACAACACACAAUUCUAAUGAAAAAAGCAACUUAACAAGUCUAUUAUGACUGUAUAAUUUAACAUUUGUUGCUAUGGGAGUGAAUACUCCAUUUUCUAGAUUAAAGCUGCAGGAAAAAUAUUCAAAAUACUGAAUUAUAGUAUCUACAGCAUUAGAAAGACCAAUAUACUAAUUGAACUACAUGUCCCAAACCUCAGUAACAUGAGAUUUAUGUUCAUGAAACAUUAACAUUUUUACAAAUAUAGUAAAUAUUCAGUCAUAUUUGUGUUUCAUAUAGAUGCCAAAUAUUUAUUUAGCUCCCUGAAACAAAGAAUGACAUUAAAUAGAGAUUUUUAAAAGAAAGUCUAGAAGAAUGAGGAACAGAUGACCAUUAGCCAACGAUGUCAAUAAUACCUGCACUUUAAAGCAAUUAUUUUUAACAAUUACUUCUGAUUAAAUGUCUUUUUUUUUCACACUCAGACAAAACCCAACAGGGACUCAUUAGCUACCUGGUGGACAAGUCUUGUCAUUCAACACCUUAGGAGGAACAAUAAUUUGGAAUAAAUAGAAAAGGAACUGCUGUAAAACAAUUCAAACAUACAGGAGAACACAGUCCUAAAAUACCUCAAUAACUGCUGCAUAACAUCAGAUUUUUCUUAUAUAAAGUAACUAUAAAAAAUACAUAUAUUCAAAGGAUCUUGGAGAUUACUUAUUUAAAAUAUUUUAAGAUGUAGAACACAUACCUGCUGUCAGGUAUUGUAUGAUGUCAGAGACCUAAUACAAACAGUCUGACAAAGAGUAGAUGAAAUCCUCUUUCAUUAAUAACCUCUCACAUUUCUCACAUCCAGCAAAAAGUGCUGAGAACAAGCACAAAGAAUAUAUACAACUUUUAACACACACACAAAUGUACACAGGGUUUCUGAUGCAUAACCAAUUAAAUGUAAGACUUUUUAAUACUACAUUUUAUAAUAUAUUACUUGUUUCAGUCAUUUUUUCAAGCAAAAACUUGAGAGAAUUGAGAAUAUUUUAACUUUUAAAAAUGAAAUUUAAGACUUUUUAGGUCUUUUUUUUUUUUUUUUUU